UGGGGGGGUGCCUUACACAUGCAAGUCGAACGGAAAGGCUCAAGCUUGCUUGAGUACUCGAGUGGCGAACGGGUGAGUAACACGUGGGUGAUCUGCCCUGUACUUCGGGAUAAGCCUGGGAAACUGGGUCUAAUACCGGAUAGGACUGCACUGUGGGUGGUGUGGUGGAAAGAUUUGUUUCGGUAUGGGAUGAGCCCGCGGCCUAUCAGCUUGUUGGUGGGGUAAUGGCCUACCAAGGCGGCGACGGGUAGCCGGCCUGAGAGGGUGGACGGCCACAUUGGGACUGAGAUACGGCCCAGACUCCUACGGGAGGCAGCAGUGGGGAAUAUUGCACAAUGGGCGCAAGCCUGAUGCAGCGACGCCGCGUGAGGGAUGACGGCCUUCGGGUUGUAAACCUCUUUCGCUAGGGACGAAGCCGCAUNUUUUAUGUGGUGACGGUACCUGGAUAAGAAGCACCGGCUAACUACGUGCCAGCAGCCGCG
rnacentral:rRNA from 1 species